rnacentral:rRNA from 1 species
UUGGAGGGCAAGUCUGGUGCCAGCAGCCGCGGUAAUUCCAGCUCCAAUAGCGUAUAUUAAAGUUGUUGCAGUUAAAAAGCUCGUAGUUGAAUUUCGGGACCAAUUUGUUGGUCGUGCCUCGGUACGUACUGGUAUUAUUGGUUUCUCCCUUCUGAAGAACCUCGAUGUCAUUAAUUUGGUGUCGUGGGGAAUCAGGACUGUUACUUUGAAAAAAUUAGAGUGUUUAAAGCAGGCAUACGCUUGAAUACAUUAGCAUGGAAUAAUGAAAUAGGACGUUUGAUUCUAUUUUGUUGGUUUCUAGGAUCGACGUAAUGAUUAAUAGGGAUAGUUGGGGGCAUUAGUAUUCAAUUGUCAGAGGUGAAAUUCUUGGAUUUAUUGAAGACUAACUACUGCGAAAGCAUUUGCCAAGGAUGUUUUCAUUAAUCAAGAACGAAAGUUAGGGGAUCGAAGACGAUCAGAUACCGUCGUAGUCUUAACCAUAAACUAUGCCGACUAGGGACCGGAUGAUGUUAAUUUUUUAAUGACUCAUUCGGCGCCUUACGGGAAACCAAAGUGUUUGGGUUC